rnacentral:rRNA from 1 species
UACCAGACUCCUACGGGAGGCAGCAGUGGGGAAUAUUGCACAAUGGGGGAAACCCUGAUGCAGCGACGCCGCGUGAGUGAAGAAGCGCCUCGGCGCGUAAAGCUCUGUCAGCAGGAACGAUAAUGACGGUACCUGAAGAAGAAGCCCCGGCUAACUACGUGCCAGCAGCCGCGGUAAUACGUAGGGGGCAAGCGUUAUCCGGAUUUAUUGGGUUUAAAGGGGGCGUAGGCGGGCUGUUAAGUCAGCGGUAAAAGGGCGGGGCACAACCCCGGCCUGCCGUUGAAACUGGCGGCCUCGAGUGGGCGAGAAGUAUGCGGAAUGCGUGGUGUAGCGGUGAAAUGCAUAGAUAUCACGCAGAACUCCGAUUGCGAAGGCAGCAUACCGGCGCCCUACUGACGCUGAGGCACGAAAGCGUGGGUAUCGAACAGGAUUAGAUACCCCGGUAGA